rnacentral:rRNA from 1 species
UUAAGCCAUGCGAGUCGAACGAGUUUAGGCUCGUGGCAUACGGCUCAGUAACACGUGGAUAACCUACCCUUAGGACUGGGAUAACCCUGGGAAACUGGGGAUAAUACUAGAUAGGCAAUUUUUCCUGGAAUGGUUUUUUGUUUAAAUGUUUUUUCGCCUAAGGAUGGGUCUGCGGCCGAUUAGGUAGUUGGUUAGGUAACGGCUUACCAAGCCAUUGAUCGGUACGGGUUGUGAGAGCAAGAGCCCGGAGAUGGAACCUGAGACAAGGUUCCAGGCCCUACGGGGUGCAGCAGGCGCGAAACCUCCGCAAUGUGAGAAAUCGCGACGGGGGGAUCCCAAGUGCCAUUCUUAACGGGAUGGCUUUUCAUUAGUGUAAAGAGCUUUUGGAAUAAGGGCUGGGCAAGACCGGUGCCAGCCGCCGCGGUAA